AUUCCAGUUUGAUGAGGGGUGAGGGGUAGAGAGAGGAGAGUCUCAGGGGGUGGAAUGAGGAAGAUAAAAGAGGGUGGUGUGACAGCCCUGAGGCCCACCUUACAUGGGGCAUUCGGGAAAGCUCUCUCUGGUGCCCAGCUGAGACCUAAGAGCACCACGUGCAGCCGUGCCCAGCCUGUGGCCUCAUUGCCCGCUCCGAUGUGCACCACCCGCCCGUGCUGCCGCCCCCUCUGGCCCUGCCCCUGCACCUGGGCGGCUGGUGGGUCAGCUCGGGGUGCGAGGUGCGCCCAGCAGUCCUGUUCCUCACCCGGCUCUUCACUUUCCACGGGCACAGCCGCUCCUGGGAAGGGUAUUACCACCACUUCUCAGACCCAGCCUGCCGGCAGCCCACCUUCACCGUGUAUGCCGCCGGCCGCUACACCAGGGGCACGCCAUCCACCAGGGUCCGCGGCGGCACCGAGCUGGUGUUUGAGGUCACACGGGCCCAUGUGACCCCCAUGGACCAGGUCACCACGGCCAUGCUCAACUUCUCUGAGCCAAGCAGCUGUGGGGGUGCGGGGGCCUGGUCCAUGGGCACUGAGC
rnacentral:lncRNA from 1 species